AGAAACUGAAGGCUCAGAUGGGUUUAGUAACUUGCCUCAAGUCACACAGUAUGGGGCUAUAAAGUAAAUUUUCCCCCACAUAUAAUGUCAUAAAAACUAACAAAGCUGAUUAUGUCUUAAUUCCAAGUUCCAACUGGUCACAGAUCAUUCAAGGCCUUGUGCAAACUGCUACUAUCACUUGUGAAGGAUUCACCCAUUGCCUUUUUCCAAGUUUGGCCUGCCUUCUAGAAAUGUUGAUUAUUUUAUUAGAAUUUUCAUGCCUGGACAAAAUGCCCUGUGUUCUCUAUUCCAUCCACUUUUGGAGAGGCCAUUUUUAUGUGUUUGGAUUUCUGCUUGCUGCUUUUACCUCCAUGUCUAACCUUUAUUUGCUCUUCUGGGUCUCCCAAGUAUAUCUCUCUUCAUUCUUUAUCCCCUGCUGCCUCUUCUGUUUACCAUAUGCAACUCUGGACCCUCCGUAGGUGAAGUCUAGAGCACCUCUGACAUCCACAAUGCUGUCUUAUUGUCACAGGGUCUGGCCAUAGAGCCACGGGACUGAUGAGUUAACUGUUACAUCAGACAUUACAGGCCCAAAAAGAUGACACUCUUAUGCAGCUUACUCACUCAUUUCAAUGAUAGAAGCCAAAAACAUUGCCAGAGCCCCUUCUUUGGGUUCGCUUUCAGAAGUCUGUGGCACUUGACUUCUAAUAUCCUCAGUCGUCAACUGGUUCAAGAUGGUGGAUGAAGCACAUGUGACAGCCUGACUUUGUGACCCCAAAUCUCUGGAAUUGAUAGAAAAGAUAUUUUUAAAAUCUACAACUGAACUCAAACAAGAAGGGAGGCCUCCUUGGGCCAGAAAUUCUGAAAGUACAAAAACUGAUGGGAUCAACUUGAUAGAGGAAACAAAUAAAAAUACACACAGAAAAGUAUCCCUAUGAAGGCAAUACAAAACUGAAUGGGGCGCAUACGUGGAGAGAGUAGGUUUAUGAGAGCAGGAGGAAACGAAGGGCAACAAGAAGAUUGAGAAACUAGCUUCAGGAGUUCCUAUAGAUCUCCCAUCCCCUUAUCAAGCAGCAGCUGAGGUAGGGACUCUUUCUAAAGAAGCUAUUGGCACAGAGGGUUGGAAUUGGAGAUGCAGAGUGCACCCAAGCCCAGAAGCCUAACUCUAGAUAUUCUGACUAGUGGCAUGUUCCACCCCUUUCUCACUCUUCCUAUAAACAAACUGGAAUACAAACUGCACCAGAACAUCCUGUCUCUUCUCUUCCUCUCCCAAAAGGUGGACAAACAGAGGCAGCUGGAUGACUAGUGGGGAAUUUCAGCCACAAAAAUGAGCACAUAAUUAAGACUCUCCAAAAUCUGAUGAAUGCCAACACCAUGGGAGGAAGUCACAAACUGUAAACAGAAGAGUUUGCACCUGAGAAAACAGACUUACUGAUCAAUCAAAACAGGUCCCUAUAAUACAUUGAAUUAAUAACAGCCUCAGAGACCUCAGCAGAUACUGCCAUCCAUAAAGAAAUUAAUGUAUAAUGGCCAGUAAUAGUUUGAUUUUUGAAAUGAAAAUCUGAAUGGAUGGACUGAAAAGCCAAAUAACAGUUGAAGAGCUGGGAGAUGCAAUCAAGGAAUUAUCUCAGAAUAUAGCACAAAGAAAAGAGAUGGGAAAUAUGAAAAGAGCAGGUAAGAAACAUGAAGAAUGGAUCCUUAAGACUCAAUAUUUGUCUAACUGGUGUUCUAGGAAGCAAAAAUAGAAUGGGGGAGAGACAACAUCCAAAGAAAUAUUAGCCAAGAAUUCCCCAGGAUUGAAGGGGAACUGCCCGAAUUCUCAGCAGUAUAAAAAAGCCACAUACAGAUAUCUCAAUGGGCCAAUUCUUCUCUCACCAAUGAUAGACUUAAUUUGGGAAGCAGUAAAAGGUCCUUUGAAGCCAAGCAUGGUGGAACAAAUGGAUGAUCAAACCCAGCACUUGUUGACAAUGAGACUUACCAUAUGAAGAAACACGAUUUUUCCCAUUCUUCUGAUGAAGAAACUGAGGCAGAGCUGUAGCAGUGAACAUACACAGUGAUGGGAGUCCAUCUAAACACAGGAAAGCUAAUGGCAUGGGGAGGGAUGCAGGAGCAGCUUUGAGUUUCCCCUGUCAAUUCUUUUCUCAUUCUCUUAACCUGCAAUGCCUUUCCUUCAAUUUGAUACCUUGAAAAUAAUGCUCCUCCUCCAAGGUCUGCUCAUUAAACCAUAGCCAACCUUC